rnacentral:rRNA from 1 species
CGCGAAUUCGCCCUUGGGUGCGCAGGCGCGAAAACUUUACAAUGCCGGCAACGGCGAUAAGGGGACCUCGAGUGCCAGGUUACAAAUCUGGCUGUCGAGAUGCCUAAAAAGCAUUUCAUAGCAAGGGCCGGGCAAGACCGGUGCCAGCCGCCGCGGUAACACCGGCGGCUCGAGUGGUAACCGUUAUUAUUGGGUCUAAAGGGUCUGUAGCCGGCCGGAUAAGUCUCUUGGGAAAUCCAGCAGCUCAACUGUUGGGCUUUCAGGAGAUACUGUCUGGCUCGAGGCCGGGAGAGGUGAGAGGUACUUCAGGGGUAGGGGUGAAAUCUUGUAAUCCUUGAAGGACCACCAGUGGCGAAGGCGUCUCACCAGAACGGACCUGACGGCAAGGGACGAAAGCUAGGGGCACGAACCGGAUUAGAUACCCGGGUAGUCCUAGCCGUAAACGAUACUCGCUAGGUGUCGGCCACGGUGCGACCGUUGUCGGUGCCGUAGGGAAGCCGUGAAGCGAGCCACCUGGGAAGUACGGCCGCAAGGCUGAAACUUAAAGGAAUUGGCGGGGGAGCAC